UUGAACGCUGGCGGCAGGCCUAACACAUGCAAGUCGAGCGGAAACGACAACAUUGAAUCUUCGGAGGAUUUGUUGGGCGUCGAGCGGCGGACGGGUGAGUAAUGCCUAGGAAAUUGCCUUGAUGUGGGGGAUAACCAUUGGAAACGAUGGCUAAUACCGCAUAAUGCCUACGGGCCAAAGAGGGGGACNUUCGGGCCUCUCGCGUCAAGAUAUGCCUAGGUGGGAUUAGCUAGUUGGUGAGGUAAUGGCUCACCAAGGCGACGAUCCCUAGCUGGUCUGAGAGGAUGAUCAGCCACACUGGAACUGAGACGCGGUCCAGACUCCUACGGGAGGCAGCAGUGGGGAAUAUUGCACAAUGGGCGAAAGCCUGAUGCAGCCAUGCCGCGUGUAUGAAGAAGGCCUUCGGGUUGUAAAGUACUUUCAGUUGUGAGGAAGGGUGUGUAGUUAAUAGCUGCGCAUCUUGACGUUAGCAACAGAAGAAGCACCGGCUAACUCCGUGCCAGCAGCCGCGGUAAUAC
rnacentral:rRNA from 1 species